UACACGUCAUGCUCACGCCAUGACCAUGACACUUGCUAUUUAUUUAUUUAUUUAUUUAUUUAUAAACUUUGCCGCCAAAAAUUUAUACAACGACAACGGCGCAGGUACAUCAUCACAGCGUCAGCCAAUUACGUUGAUGCCCUGGUUCUACAGACAGUACUAACAAUACAUCCACUCGAACUUGAAACGUACACAACACAUCUAUCUAUUUACAUAUAAUUACAGUUCAAAGUCCACAUUAGCCAUCAAGGCUAGUCCUAGAAACAACAGUUCUUGAACGUUUUUAAUGAUCUUGCUAGAUGGCACUUGGGACAUAUUGUUUUCCAUGACUUGGGGUGAUCUUUGUCGAAGGUGGUCUUGGUGGCAGUAAGGUAAUAUUGGGAAAGGAGGGAUUUAAAUCGAUGGUAUGAAAUCUCUGGUAGACGUAAUUCAUCGGGAAGAGUGUUCCAUAUCCGUGAAGCUCUAACAGCAUAACUGUUCUGAUAGCAGAGUGUCUUAGUUUUUGGUAUAUGAUAUGUCACGAGGGUGGUAUUUUGUGACCGUAGGUUCAUCCUUAAUUUGUUGUUUUGUUCUGGGAGGAUAUUGAGGUCAGAUGAAAUAAAUCCACGUGUAAGUUUGAAUAAAAGGAGAACGUCCAUAUAUUCGUGCCAGUAGCUCAGUGGUAACAAGUUUAAGGACAACAAUCUUGAUUUAUAACAAGUGUCAGUUUCAAAAGGUAAAGCCAAGAUGAAUUUAGUUGCCCUCCUUUGAACAUUUUCCAAUUCACCACACAUGCUUACGGUUUGCUAGCAAAAUGGCGUCCUGAAAAACACGAGCUUUUGCAUUUUAUUGCAGCUUUUUUGGAUCGAAAUUUAUGGAUUAAACAAUAGCAUCAUUUGUUGAAUGUUUAAAGUUGUUGAAAGCAAUUAAAGUUGUAUUAAAGGUAUUGAAAGCUCUCUUGAAAGCAAUGACGUAUUGCCAAAUGACGAAUUAUCACGCCAAAUGACGAAU